GCUAAUUCAGCAGGAAUGUGAGCACAGCCUGCACCUGAUCCGGGGCUGCUCUUCCUGCCCAGGGCUCGGGUGGUGCACGGACCUGGCAUUCACUGCCGGGGGAACAGCCCCGCCACUGCCAGGAGCACCAGGCACAGCCAGAGCAGCCGGAGCACCUGGCGGCUCUAAAGGUUUUAAUCUUUGUAUAGAACACACUCUGUGACCCUGACAGAGGGAAAGCAGCGCAGUCCUACCUCCUCUAUGUAUGUGUUUAGAAACAGCAACUGAUCGAAGUCAGCGACCGAGUUACUCCUCUUGCCACGCGUUCCCGGCUUUGACAGACUGCAUCGUUUGGCGUGUUGAUAUAUCAGGAUUUCAUACACUAUGAAUAUUCACGGCGCAUAUUAAAUUAACCAGCUCCUAGACCUUGCCUCUCUAUCUAGUCUGUGUUUGCAUCCUACUCUGAGUGGGUUUCACAAAACUGCAACAUUUUCAGGCAACUCAGCUUGGAAGACACAUGCAGAGGAAAACACGGAUGCCUACUACACAUUUAUUACUCAAUCCAAGCGAGGCUGUGAUCCUGCUAGCAGGCUCCUCUCCCUCCACUCGUUUUAAUUAGCAUUUCAAGGGAUGCUUGGUAGCACAAGCUGGUGAAGUUAUGAUGGGCUGCCUUUUGCAUCUUUCCUCCUUCAUCAGUGUGCCACUUCACGAACAUUUCAUCACCCAGGCAAGCCUUUACUCAACCUUGGUAUAUUCUCAAGCCUUGCUGUUCACCCUCGUGUUGCCAUCCUUCUGCAUGGAUCCAUGCAAUGUGCCAAGAUCACACCUUAUCUUGGGGUAGCUGGUUGCUGUUGGAGGGGUGUGUGGGUGUGGGCACACUGAGCUCCAGCUCCAGCUUACUGUGAGGCCUUGAGCUUCCCUUCUUCACAGCGUCUUCCCCUCCACCUGCCCUGUGGAGAAGCAGGAGAAGAAGGAGGGCAGCUGCUUGCAGCUUUUUAGCUCUGAAGGGCCUCACACCAGUAGAGGAGACUUGACAAAUCCUCCAGCUGAACAACUGAUGUGCUGGGCUCUGAGGGGCCUUUUAAAAUCUUCCUCCUGGCUUUAGUUUCUUCCAGGCUAUGGUUGGGGAGCUUGGCUCUGCUCCAAAGUUUGGUUUUCAGCUCCCAAACUGCCUCCCAGAGAAGUGGGGUGACCACUGGGACACCUUCAAAGCAGAUUUUCAUUUCUGAAGUUCUACAGCUCCUUUUGGGGUGGUGUGGAGGAAAAGCAUCUCCUCAUCCUCAGGGGUUGGAGUCCAAACAGGCAGGGUUAAGCCAGCAGCAGGCAGAGUGCUCUGCACACUGGGCUUGCACCUCCAGAGACCUGGAGGUAAUUCACAGUGCAGUCUCUGGCUGAGGAAAGCAAACCUGGUCAAUAUUGCAGCCGCAGAUGCCUGCACUGCACCAGGCAGCAGAGCAAUCCAUCCCUGCUCUGCCUGUGUUGGCAGCACAGGGAGAGGAAAGUGAGGAAGAGCAGAGGCAGUGCAGCUCAGGAUACCUGGAUAUAUUGGCAGAAUCUCUCUCUUGAUUAUCAGCCUCUUCUUUCCAUAAGCUCUAAAAUAAGAGCAUCAAGAAAACUGGAGAGCAGUGAAUCUUCAGGAAGGUCUCCAGUCUUUGGCAGAGAGCACAGGCUGCUUUUCCAUCAUGCCAACACUGCCCUUCACCCUGAAUGAGCGGCAUUUGUCUCCUUUCCCCUUCGCUCUGGAGAUUGCAGCCCGGAUUCCGAGGAGGCGUCUCCGGCUGCCUGGAGCUCGGAGCGGCCAAACGCCGCCUCCCUGCAGCACAUCCAGGGCCGGGGCUCGGAGGGAGAUGCCCGGCCCCGGGAAGUCGGGGCUGGGGAGCGCGAUGGGGGCGAGCCCGCAUCCCUCCCGUUCCCAGUGCCCCGCUCCUGCCGCGGAGCGCUGCCCGCAUCCCGGCCGUGCGCAGCGCCGUGGGACGCGCGGUUAAGGAGUCCAGACCCCGGGAUCCGAAAGGAGCCGUGACCGUGCGAGAGGAGCUCCGCUCUUCUGAAAGGGUCUUUGGGAGGGCAGUGACAGCGGCACGUCUACAGGAUCCCUCUGCUUCGUGAAAACCUGCCGCCGCAUCUCCUUGGCGCUGUGUUUUCGGUCGGAGCUGAAAAGUCUGCGUGGGAACUCAGGGACUACCUUAAAUACCCCUGACUAAGCCUUCUUAAAACUCCUAUUAAAAUACGAACACCGCAGUCAAGGCGGCAGCCUGGAGGUUUGCCCAGUGGCCAAAUAAAUCAAAAUAUUCCAGAUAUCCUGUUUGCAAGCGCCCAUUAAAGCCUGACAACUGGCUAAUACCAAAGGCAGCGUGGAUCUGAAAGACAGAAAAAACGUGACCCAUCCUGCAAAGCAGCCCGGGUUUAUUUCUUGCUUUUUCACAGCUUUAAUGCAGUCCUCCUCCCAGGGGCUGUAGAAAAGGGUUGCUGGGGCCCAGUGAGAGGCUCACGGCAGCAGGGUUGUAAGGGCUGGGGGCUGUGCAGCCACAGCUCCUCACAUCCCCAGCCCCACAAGCAUCACCAGCCACCAAGCAGCCUCUGCCAGGGACCUCCUUGCCCAGGACCGUGGCUCAAAGCCUGGUGCCAGGGUUCAGCCCUUUAUCUGCAUUUGCUGCCUCGCUGACAUCUGCAGGCGCAUUCUGUGCUCUUUAUCUGUUUUCUCAAAUAAAUUAAUAAAUAAAAGACAGAGAGGCUGGAAAUAAGGACGGAGAAAAUGAACAGAUUUUGAUCUAGUAAGCAAUUUAAAUCUGGGCUGGCAAGCUGCGUUCGCUCAUUCAUUAAUUCUGCCGUGUGCUCAGAAAACCCCAGCAGGGCUCUCUUCCAGCGCAAGAACUUCCGACUGUGAAAUAAACCCCGCGUAACCAGAUUAGCUCUGAGGUAUGCAUCAGCCAGCUCCUAGGCACUAAUUCUACUUUCUCUGCACUGUACAUUGCUAGAGCCUGAUUUCUUGAUCAGGUGGUGCUCACUGGAGGGCAUAAACUCUCUGAAGUUUCCUAUCUUCCACCUCUCCCUGUAUUGCUGUUCCUUGCUCAAUAAAUAAAAAAAUAUUAUAUUGUGUGCAA